rnacentral:tRNA from 1 species
AGUAAAGUAAACUAAUGGUAAGUUAUUAGGCUCAUAACCUAACUAUAAAGGUUCGAUUCCUUUCUUUACUA